rnacentral:tRNA from 1 species
GCCUCUGUAGCUCAGUGACAGAGCGCUGGUCUUGUAAACCAGGGGUGGUGAGUUCAAUCCUUAGAGGAGCA